CGGAGCGUAGUUCAGUUGGCUAGAACGCACGGUUUGGGACCGUGAGGUCAUCGGUUCAAGUCCGAUCGCUCCGA
rnacentral:tRNA from 1 species